CCCCUGAUGCGAGGCCAGCAAAUCAGAAUAAAUUGGUUCUUGUUCUGCGCCCGAAUUUUUACACUUAAAAAAGUUCAAGGAUGAAAACACUGUAGUGUGGCUCCUUGAGUUAAACAAUCCAAUAUGUUAAACCAUCCAAUAUGUUAAACCAUCCAAUAUGUUAAACCAUCCAAUAUGUCCUUGUCUUAAUGAGAGAGCAACGAGGAAAACAAAUUUUACAGAAAUUUGUAAAUCAGUAAAGAAGUUAUUUCUAACAUGUAUGAUGUAAUCUAAAUUUGACAGUCUGGCAUGAGAAAAAAUAAAAGAUACCUCGCACUCUC